CUGCCCUGGAGUGUCCGUCCCUACAGCAGACUCUCUCUCUCCUCACCAGCACACGCCAGCAAACUCCCCACCACUGACGCCAACUCCAGGAACCCCUCCCGGGGAAGACCUUACUCCUCCCGGACCAAGUCUCACUAUGCGGUGCAAGCGGACCUGGAACCUGCCAUUUAGCCCAAGCUGAUCUCAAACUCACGGCCCCCCCCCCCCCCCCCCGCCUCAGCGUGCGUAAUGCCGGGAUCACAGCUGCGCGCCACCGUGCCCAGCCGGUUUGAAUGUCUGUGUCCCCCCAAACCAACGCUGACAUCUGGUUGCUGUAGCAGCGCCUCCCUCAUAGACGGCAGUCCUCUGCUAUAACCCCAUCCCGCACCUCGCUCUCGCAGUAAGAGCAAGCUGGUCCCUCAUCUUUCCGUUCCUCGAGGCUGUUAGUCAGUGUAUUUCUGUUCCUUAUACAUCGCUCAGUCUCAGGGACUGUGCUGCAGUACAAAUGCCCUCAACACAUGGAUGAAGGAUGUUCCAGGCCAUAAGACAGCUUGUACACUGAGAACCACUGGGAGGCCCGGAAGGUUCUCCAGAAUCUUAAGGGCAGCCCAGCUAAACCCAAAGCACCGCCCAAGGAGGUUGGGAUGCCUUCCCCACAGUCAUCCACGCCCUCCGCCGCCACCUUUCAGUUGUUCGGUUUUGGUUUUUUGUUUUUUUCGAGACAGGGUUUCUCCGUGCAGCCCUGGCUGUCCUGGAAUUCGCUCUGUAGACCAGGCUGAUCUACAACUCAGAGGCCGGCCUGCCUCUGCCUCCUGAGUGUUGGGCUUAAAGGCCAGCGCCACCACGCCCAGUGGUUCCUAAUGAUUGACUUCUAAUUUUUUUCCCUUGAAGAAAAGGGAUUCUCCUCCAUAGCCACCGACCCUCUGCCACAUUCGAAUUUUAUACCGAAUGAGUUUGACACUGCAUCAGUACUUUGAUAAUGGUCUGUGUUCAAAUUAGCUGACGUUUGUCGCAUGCCUCAACCUUCCUAACGCUGUGACCCUUUAAUGCAGUCUCUCGCGUUGUGGUGACCUCCACCAUAAAGUCAUUACAAAUUUACUACAUCGCUACUUCCUAGCUGUAAUUUUGCUACGGUUAUGAAUUGUAAUGUAAAUAUCUGAUAGAUAUGCAAACCCCUGGAAGGGUCAGUCCACCCCCAGACGGGUCAGGACCCACAUGCUGAGAACUGCUGUUAGAGAAUGUUCUUCAUCUGCCUGUUUCUCUUCCUCUCACCUCUGCCGUUGUACCUGGAGACACGUGAUGCCAGUCUGAUGCCUUCAGUGGCCCCGAGAUAGCGGAAUUUACCCCCUUUGUGUCCUUUUGCCUUGAACAUGAGUUGGACCUAGCGACUUCCUUCCCAGGAGUAGAAUAACUCAAAAGUUAUGGAACGGUGCGCAGCUGCGCCAUCCACCGUUGCUAGGAAACGGAGUCAGGGUAGAUGUCCAUCAGCCGAUGAGCGUAUGAUGAAAAUGUGCUGCGUGUAUACAAAUUAGUUUUAUUUGGUUGUAAAUAAAACGAAAUCUGCAGGAAAA